CCUACGGGAGGCAGCAGUGGGGAAUUUUGGACAAUGGGCGCAAGCCUGAUCCAGCCAUGCCGCGUGCGGGAAGAAGGCCUUCGGGUUGUAAACCGCUUUUGUUCGGGAAGAAAUUGACUGGGCUAAUACCCCGGUUAGAUGACGGUACCGGAAGAAUAAGCACCGGCUAACUACGUGCCAGCAGCCGCGGUAAUACGUAGGGUGCGAGCGUUAAUCGGAAUUACUGGGCGUAAAGCGUGCGCAGGCGGUUUCGCAAGUCAGAUGUGAAAGCCCCGGGCUCAACCUGGGAACUGCAUUUGAAACUACGAAGCUAGAGUGUGUCAGAGGGGGGUAGAAUUCCACGUGUAGCAGUGAAAUGCGUAGAGAUGUGGAGGAAUACCAAUGGCGAAGGCAGCCCCCUGGGAUAACACUGACGCUCAUGCACGAAAGCGUGGGGAGCAAACAGGAUUAGAUACCCUGGUAGUCCCACGACCUAACCGACUAGUCACUAGUUGUCGGGUAGGACAUCUUCGUACGCAGCUACGCGUGAGUAGACCGCCGUGGGAGUACGGUCGCGAGAAUUAAACGUUAAAGUAAGUUAGACGGCGUAGAGACGUGCCGACGGACGACGACGAGGGAGGUAGG
rnacentral:rRNA from 1 species